GCUGCCUUUUCUCUCUCUCUUUCUGUCUCUCUUUCAAAUGCUGCUGCUGCUGCUGCUUUGUCUUCUCUUUCAGCAUUGAGUGGGCCGAGUUCAGCACUUUGCACUGGGCUAGAUGUCUCUUGGGUGUGACGCUGAAAUGUCAAAUCCUCGGGGUAUUCUGCCGGUGUUGCAUAUGGUGUCAAAUGGUUUUUCUCCGUAUGGCCUUCUUGCAUGAUUGCUUUGAGACUGCGAGUUUUUUAAUUAUGUGGUGAUUGGCACAGCUUCAGUGUUAUUGUAAGUUCACUGUGGAGCUGCAUGAAUUUAUGGCGUUGGAAAUGUGUGCUGUGGCUGACACUGUACAGCUAUUAUUGCUGUACACUUAGCAAGAUUGAUUAAAAGUUGCAUUUAG
rnacentral:lncRNA from 1 species